CCCUUAGAUGUUCUGGGCCGCACACGCGCUACACUGAAGGAGGCAGCGUGUACUCCUGGAUCGAAAGAUUUGGGUAACCCGCGAAUCUCCUUCGUGCUAGGGAUUGAGGUUUGCAAUUAUCCUUCAUGAACGAGGAAUUCCCAGUAAGUGCAAGUCAUAAGCUUGCGCUGACUACGUCCCUGCCCUUUGUACACACCGCCCGUCGCACCUACCGAUUGAAUGGUCCGGUGAAGCCUCGGGAUUGUGGCGAGUUCCCUUUAUUGGGAGUUUGUCGCGAGAACUUGUCUAAACCUUAUCAUUUAGAGGAAGGUGAAGUCGUAACA
rnacentral:rRNA from 1 species